CACAGACUGUCUCCUGGUUUGUAUAUUUUUAAUCUCAUUUUAUUUUGUUACCCUCAUGCUUCCUGUGCUGUCUACCUCAGGGCACAUUCAUUUUUCCAUAGGAACAAAACUUUGGCCCUGCCCUUCCUUUGAAUCAUGGUAUUAGCUGGUUGUAGUAUUCUUGGAGGCCAGUCCUACAUAGUGUAAGCAAUAACUUAACUCCUUAUGAAAGUGACUGUAAACCACAGAAGUACAACCUACUAAACCCCAGCUGAACAUAAACCUACCUUAGCUGCUUCUAAAUCCGAUCUCACAAAUGCUGAUGGCCAUUUUAAUGCCCAACAGGAAAGGAAAAGUCAUGGAAGGGAAAACAGAAUGGAAAGAAACAGGAUUCUUAACCGAUUGCAGUUAAAAUAUUUACUUUUUAAAAAUUGAAAAAAAAAUGCAGAAAGAAAAAUGGCCAUGGAAACACAUUGCUAAGGCUUUUCCCAGGGUCUUAGAAGGGACCAUCAAAUAGCGAUAAUCUGAAAACUUUUUCAAUUUUUAUAAUUGACACAAAACAAUUACACAUAUCUGCAGGGUUCAUCGUGCUAUGGUCAUGUAUGUAAUGUAAGUGAUCAGAUCAGGGUAAUUAGCAUAUCUAUCAUCUCAAAUAUUUAUCGUUUAUGUUGGGAACAUUCAUAUCCUCCUUCUAGAUAUUUGAAGCUAUGUAAUACAUUAUUGUUAAUUAUAGUCAUCCUUCAGUGCUAUAGAACACUAGAACUUAUUCUUCCUAUCUAACUGUAAUUCUAUUUCCUUUAACAAAUCUCUCCCCAGCCCUUCCUUACCCCUGCCCUUCUCAGUCUGUGGUAUCCUCUGUUGUACGUUUUACUUUUAUGAGAUCAACUUUUUUUUAGCUCCCACAUAUGAGUGAGCACAUACAGUGUUUAACUUUCUGUUCCUGGCUUAUUUCACUUAACAUAGUGUCCUCCAGUUUCAUCCAUAUUGCCAUGGACGACAGGAUUUCAUUCUAUAUGGUCAAAUAGUAUUCUAUUGUGUAUAUAUACCACAUCUUCUUUAUCUAUUUGUCUGUUUUUGGAUACCUGGGUUGGUUCCAUAUCUUGGAUAUUGUGAAUAAUGCUGCAAUAAACAUAGGGGAUGCAGAUGUCUUUUCUUUACACUGACUUUCUUUCCUUUGGAUAAAUGCCCAGUAUUGGUAUUGCUGGAUCAUAUGGUCCUUCUAAUUUUAUGUGUUUUUUGUUGUUGUUGUUUUUUGUUUUUUUUCCAGAAAUCUCCAUACUGGUUUCCAUAACGGCUAUACUAGUUUACAUUCUCAGCAACAGUGUGUUCCCUUUCCUUUAUAUCUUCACUAGCAUUUGAUAUAUUCUUUCUGAUAAUAGCCACCCUAACUGGGAUGAAGAUGAUAUCUCUUUGUCCUUUUGACUUGCAUUUUUCUGAUCAUCAGUGAUGUUGAGCAUUUUGGAAUAUAUUUGUUGGCCAUUUGUAUGUCUUCUUUCAAAAAACACCUGUUCAGAUCACUUGCCCAUUUUCUAAUUGAUCGUUUAUUUUAUUUUUUAUUUUUUGCUGUUGAGAUGUUUGAGUUCCAUGUAUAUUCUGGAUAUAUAUUCUGGAUAUUAAUCCUUUAUUGUAUGAAUCAUUAAUUAAUUUGCAUUAGCUUUAGAAUAAAAUCCACUCAGACUCCAGGAUUGUGGAAGUAGCAACAAAUUUGUAGUGUAGGACCUUGAAUCUAGUUUUGGCUCCUCCACUGACUACCCUGGUGGACCUUGGGCAAGUUAUUCACAACCUAACCCUCACUUACUCCUUUAAAAAAUGGGAGUUUUGAAUAGAUAACACCCACACCCCACCCCUCGGAAAAAAAAUCUCUUCUAUCUAUGACAUUGUCAUAGCAGACAGAACUGGCUGCAAUAGCAAAAUAUGCACAGAUGGGGGCCUCCCCACCUUCAUAGGCUCAGGACAGAUCUUCUAGGCCUAAAUUCAGGAGACAGAGGCAACCCUAGCCAUUUCCACUCCAUUUUGGAAGCAGCUGCCUUGUCUUUCAAGAAUGCAGUCAGACAGCUUUUUUUUUAAAGAAAAAGGUGUAGUCUUUCCAGGGACUUUAGUCCCCUUUGCUUCCCAGUGAUCUUGUGAGUCACUAAAUGAUUGAUGGGGGGCUUAUUUCCAUGGUGACCACUUCUGUCCUAUCUAGCAGCUGGAGAGCUUAACCCAACCCUGACACAGCUUCCUCAGUUGGGCUGGGCAUCCACUUAACCAAAGCAUUCAAGGGCAGGACUUGACAGCUCUGAACUCUGGGCCAUGGAUAGGAUUCCAGAAGAAAGAAGGGUGGGAGCAUGGUGAAACCACUCAUCUAUGCUCUCAUUUUUUUCCAUGGAUUAAAGUCUCAAGAGUUAUGUCCCAGCUAGAAAGGAACCUUGAUAGCAAAGGAGUCUUGAAGAGCUCUUGGAUACUGAAUGAACCAUUUCUUAGUGGAUGGGGCUGUCCAGUAAGACCUCCCAAUGCCAUUUGCUUCUGAUCUUAUGGAGUAAUCUUUUCUCUUCCCUGGCCAAUUGGGCUAAGUUUGCUAUACCUCAAUCUCAAUAACUGCCACUUCUCUGCCGCCAAUCAAUUCUCUGUCUGUUUCUGGGUAUGUUCUCCUCAUGUUGCCUUUUCUGCAGGCUUGUCAAUAUAAAAACAAGAGCCAUUUGCUUGAAUGGAGGGCUGUGCCUAAAAGUUAACAGACAGUCACAGCUGUGUUAGAGGAUUGAGGCAUGGAGUACAUUCUAAAAUAGAACUCAGCCGCAGAGGGCAUGGAAACAUGCCGUGCUCAAGGCUGCCAGGGAAUGCAGCCCUGAAGCUUGGGUUUUUCACGCCUCAAACUCAUUAAACCCCCAGCCUGCAUGUCACACAUCACAUCCUUCCAGAAUUUCUGGCUUCCUUCAUUCAAAUAGAAUACUCUUUUCUUCCUCAGGUGGCUUAAUUUGUUCUUUACUAAUUUGUUAUUGAUAUUAUUAUUUAUCCAAAAUUUUCUGAAUGCCAUGGCUAUACCAGUGGGGAACAGAAUGUUCCUAUGGAGGGAAGAAUUGCUCUGAUUAUUAGAAUUACUGAAUUAUUGGCAUGUUAUUCUGAUUAUUCUGAUUAUUAGAAUUACUGAAUUAUUGAGCUGGAUAGGUUACUAAAAAUCAUGUAGUUUUAUCACCAUUAUCCUAUAGUUUGGGCAAAAAGAGGACAAAAGGUUAUACGGUGAGCUGGCUCAUAGCCAAAAAAAUAGAAACUGAUUUUCUCCCAUUUUUAUUUCUACUAAGUUAUUUAAAAAUUAUUAUUCUUAACAUCAAAUAGCUUUGUGAAUGUACUUAAGUUUUGUAGAAAUAGGUAUCUAAUACAGUCAUCUAGCUAAUUGACCUUAUAUUUUGCUUUCAUUUUAGAGUACUGCCUGGCCUAGAAGUGCCAAAGAAAUUAUUCCCUGGUAUACACAAACAUCUUAUAUAUUUGUUUUUAUAAUCCAAAUAUCCAUGUACAAGCAUCAAAGUCCAUAUCUAAAUACUUCAACACAUACACACUUGUGCAGGUGCAAUCUCUGGCACAGUGGGGUACCAGGAAAAGAAAUAUGACAAAUACUCUGCCCAGGUGGGGUUCCCAGCAUACUGAGAGGGUCAAACAAGCCCCCUCCCCUUCUCUACAUGCUAUAACUCUAAGAUAAGGCAGAUUAGAAUACCUGUUUUAAAAAGGUAUAAGACUGUAGAGGGAAGGAAGAAGAGAGAAUGGUUAAUUUAAACUGGGAUGUCCAGGGAGGUCUUUAAGGGGAGAUAGCAUUUGAAGUAGUCUUAAAGAAUGGGAAGGAAUUUUACUUGUACACAAGGGCAGGAGAGUAAUAACACAGAGAGAUCAGUGUGAACACAGCAUGAAGGUGAGGGGGUCAUUGAGAGUGUGGGCUCCAAAUUGUGAGCAGCUGUAUCCCAUAGCUGGGUGAAAAGAAGGAAGCACAAAACUCUACUCAGAAAGGGGACACUCUCAAAGAGUUACACCUGCAUUUCCAGAUAUGAAUUUCCAUAAUAGAGGCAAACACACCAAACAGGAGACACAGACUGAAGCCAUGACUCAAGCUUGCCAAGUCUUUAAACCUGUGGUUCCAGGAAGUCUAAAAAUUCUGGAGCUGAGACCACUGAAUUAUGUUUCCAGUAUCAAAAGCCAACCUGAAUGUUGAUAUUCCCCUGGCAACCUGAAGGGAGUAAAAUAUGAUAGCUCUCUGUCCCUGUUUAGCUGUUUUGUAUGAUGACUUUCAUUCUUUCUUAUGGAUAGUGGUGUAAAAUACACAAAAAGGUACCUGUUGGCUUCUUCAAAUCUAGCAAAUACAAUUUAGCCACUUUCCACAUUGAAUCUUUUUGUUAGCUUUAAGCAGCUACCUUUUUAGAUUUGUUUGUUUUUCUCUAAUAAAACGUCUCAGCCUGAUCAGCUUAAAGUGUAAUUGAUGGGGAGAAAACAGAGCCUGAAUUAUUGUCACUGUAGAUGGACCAUAAAGAAGACAAAACCUGAUGACAGCAACAUGUGGGAGAGAGGUUCCAGUGAUAGUGUAUUUUCUGAUCCAUUGACAGUCAACACAUGUUUAUGGAAAUCAUCUUCUAUUGCUGGAUUUCCAUCUCAAGCCUUGGAAAAGAAGAUUGAGAUGGUAAGGAGAGAAGAGGCGAGAUUUGGAAUGGUCUCUGAAAGAGAUCACG
rnacentral:lncRNA from 1 species